UGGACCAUUCCCCCGGAGUACCUGCCAUUGCGCGUUCAUUGUAAUCACAAGUAACUGCAUUUUGCUUUGGCGUUAUGAGCAGGAACGCUGUGGGCGCUUCACGUGGCUCCUAUUGCUGUAUUGUGGGCUGCUCGAACCGAGGAAGAAAUCCAACGCUGAAGUUCUACCGCUUCCCGUCUCGGCCCUACGAGCGCGAUCGGAGGCAGCGUUGGAUACAAGCCGUUCGACGAUAGAAUGAGGAUGGCAGCCCAUGGGAGCCGAACAAAGGCUCAAGAGUUUGCAGCGUGCAUUUUGUCGGCGGGGUCAAGAGCGAUAUUGAGCGCCACCCGGCUUACGUCCCGUCAAUCUUUCCUUCUGUCUAUGCAGUUAAAAGUACAGCGGACCUAGAUCUCGCACGAUACGAAAGGUCCAAGAAGCGGGGCCAGCAAAGAAAGCAAACGCACUGCAUCCAACUGGAAGACAUGAGCGCCACGGAUGUUGACGUCCUGCCAUCUGAAGAAACAAUCUCAGGCGUAGCUGCAGAUCAAGAGGCCUUCUCAGCCACACAUGCCACAGUGUUGCUUCAUAACCAGGCAACCCAGACUGAUGAGCAAAGUAUAGACAGCCAAGCAACGUUCUCAGUUUUCAUCUCAGCGGUUUCCACUGAUGGUGCGUCAACGCAAGUGACACAUCAUCACAGCUGCUGCAAGUGUUCUUGCUGCACCCACAACGAAGUCAACAGCAACCGCUAAUGCUGAGAGGUUGUCGCUUUUCCAGGGUAUUGAGAGUUUGAAGGACUCUCCGCAGGCUUUGCAGGACUUGUGUGGUAUUAGUAUGAAUGUGUUUGCUUUGC